CAGUAGCCGCGGUAAUACGAAGGGGGCUAGCGUUGUUCGGAAUCACUGGGCGUAAAGCGCACGUAGGCGGAUUUUUAAGUCAGGGGUGAAAUCCCGAGGCUCAACCUCGGAACUGCCUUUGAUACUGGAGAUCUUGAGUUCGGAAGAGGUUGGUGGAACAGCUAGUGUAGAGGUGAAAUUCGUAGAUAUUAGCUAGAACACCAGUGGCGAAGGCGGCCAACUGGUCCGACAUUGACGCUGAGGUGCGAAAGCGUGGGGAGCAAACAGGAUUAGAUACCCCAGUAGUCCCUGUCUCUUAUAC
rnacentral:rRNA from 1 species